UCCCUGAUAGCUCUGUUGGUAAAGAAUUCUCUUGCAAUGCAGAAGACCCUAGUUCAAUUCCUGGGUUUGGAAG
rnacentral:tRNA from 1 species